GAUGAACGCUGGCGGCGUGCCUAAUACAUGCAAGUCGAGCGAACAGACGAGGAGCUUGCUCCUUCGACGUUAGCGGCGGACGGGUGAGUAACACGUAGGUAACCUACCUAUAAGACUGGGAUAACUUCGGGAAACCGGAGCUAAUACCGGAUAAUAUUUCGAACCGCAUGGUUCGAUAGUGAAAGAUGGCUUUGCUAUCACUUAUAGAUGGACCUGCGCCGUAUUAGCUAGUUGGUAAGGUAACGGCUUACCAAGGCAACGAUACGUAGCCGACCUGAGAGGGUGAUCGGCCACACUGGAACUGAGACACGGUCCAGACUCCUACGGGAGGCAGCAGUAGGGAAUCUUCCGCAAUGGGCGAAAGCCUGACGGAGCAACGCCGCGUGAGUGAUGAAGGUCUUCGGAUCGUAAAACUCUGUUAUUAGGGAAGAACAAACGUGCAAGUAACUGUGCACGUCUUGACGGUACCUAAUCAGAAAGCCACGGCUAACUACGUG
rnacentral:rRNA from 1 species